rnacentral:rRNA from 1 species
GGUUAAGUUAGAAAGGGCGCACGGUGGAUGCCUUGACACUAGGAGUCGAUGAAGGACGGGACUAACGCCGAUAUGCUUCGGGGAGCUGUAAGUAAGCUUUGAUCCGAAGAUUUCCGAAUGGGGAAACCCACCAUACGUAAUGGUAUGGUAUCCUUACCUGAAUACAUAGGGUAAGGAAGACAGACCCAGGGAACUGAAACAUCUAAGUACCUGGAGGAAGAGAAAGCAAAUGCGAUUUCCUGAGUAGCGGCGAGCGAAACGGAACAUAGCCCAAACCAAGAGGCUUGCCUCUUGGGGUUGUAGGACAUUCUAUACGGAGUUACAAAGGAACGAGGUAGACGAAGCGACCUGGAAAGGUCCGUCGUAGAGGGUAACAACCCCGUAGUCGAAACUUCGUUCUCUCUUGAAUGUAUCCUGAGUACGGCGGAACACGUGAAAUUCCGUCGGAAUCUGGGAGGACCAUCUCCCAAGGCUAAAUACUCCCUAGUGAUCGAUAGUGAACCAGUACCGUGAGGGAAAGGUGAAAAGCACCCCGGAAGGGGAGUGAAAGAGAUCCUGAAACCGUGUGCCUACAAAUAGUCAGAGCCCGUUAAUGGGUGAUGGCGUGCCUUUUGUAGAAUGAACCGGCGAGUUACGAUCCCGUGCGAGGUUAAGCUGAAGAGGCGGAGCCGCAGCGAAAGCGAGUCUGAAUAGGGCGUUUAGUACGUGGUCGUAGACCCGAAACCAGGUGAUCUACCCAUGUCCAGGGUGAAGUUCAGGUAACACUGAAUGGAGGCCCGAACCCACGCACGUUGAAAAGUGCGGGGAUGAGGUGUGGGUAGCGGAGAAAUUCCAAUCGAACCUGGAGAUAGCUGGUUCUCCCCGAAAUAGCUUUAGGGCUAGCCUUAAGUGUAAGAGUCUUGGAGGUAGAGCACUGAUUGAACUAGGGGUCCUCAUCGGAUUACCGAAUUCAGUCAAACUCCGAAUGCCAAUGACUUAUCCUUAGGAGUCAGACUGCGAGUGAUAAGAUCCGUAGUCAAGAGGGAAACAGCCCAGAUCGCCAGCUAAGGUCCCAAAGUGUGUAUUAAGUGGAAAAGGAUGUGGAGUUGCUUAGACAACUAGGAUGUUGGCUUAGAAGCAGCCACCAUUUAAAGAGUGCGUAAUAGCUCACUAGUCGAGUGACUCUGCGCCGAAAAUGUACCGGGGCUAAAUACACCACCGAAGCUGCGAAUUGAUACCAAUGGUAUCAGUGGUAGGGGAGCGUUCUAAGUGCAGUGAAGUCAGACCGGAAGGACUGGUGGAGCGCUUAGAAGUGAGAAUGCCGGUAUGAGUAGCGAAAGACGGGUGAGAAUCCCGUCCACCGAAUGCCUAAGGUUUCCUGAGGAAGGCUCGUCCGCUCAGGGUUAGUCAGGACCUAAGCCGAGGCCGACAGGCGUAGGCGAUGGACAACAGGUUGAUAUUCCUGUACCACCUCUUUAUCGUUUGAGCAAUGGAGGGACGCAGAAGGAUAGAAGAAGCGUGCGAUUGGUUGUGCACGUCCAAGCAGUUAGGCUGAUAAGUAGGCAAAUCCGCUUAUCGUGAAGGCUGAGCUGUGAUGGGGAAGCUCCUUAUGGAGCGAAGUCUUUGAUUCCCCGCUGCCAAGAAAAGCUUCUAGCGAGAUAAAAGGUGCCUGUACCGCAAACCGACACAGGUAGGCGAGGAGAGAAUCCUAAGGUGUGCGAGAGAACUCUGGUUAAGGAACUCGGCAAAAUGACCCCGUAACUUCGGGAGAAGGGGUGCUUUCUUAACGGAAAGCCGCAGUGAAUAGGCCCAAGCGACUGUUUAGCAAAAACACAGGUCUCUGCGAAGCCGUAAGGCGAAGUAUAGGGGCUGACACCUGCCCGGUGCUGGAAGGUUAAGGAGAGGGGUUAGCGUAAGCGAAGCUCUGAACUGAAGCCCCAGUAAACGGCGGCCGUAACUAUAACGGUCCUAAGGUAGCGAAAUUCCUUGUCGGGUAAGUUCCGACCCGCACGAAAGGUGUAACGAUUUGGGCACUGUCUCAACCAGAGACUCGGUGAAAUUAUAGUACCUGUGAAGAUGCAGGUUACCCGCGACAGGACGGAAAGACCCCGUGGAGCUUUACUGUAGCCUGAUAUUGAAUUUUGGUACAUUUUGUACAGGAUAGGCGGGAGCCAUUGAAACCGGAGCGCUAGCUUCGGUGGAGGCGCUGGUGGGAUACCGCCCUGAAUGUAUUGA